rnacentral:rRNA from 1 species
GAUGAACGCUGGCGGCGUGCCUAAUACAUGCAAGUCGAGCGAACAGAUGAGGAGCUUGCUCCUCUGACGUUAGCGGCGGACGGGUGAGUAACACGUGGAUAACCUACCUAUAAGACUGGGAUAACUUCGGGAAACCGGAGCUAAUACCGGAUAAUAUAUUGAACCGCAUGGUUCAAUAGUGAAAGACGGUUUUGCUGUCACUUAUAGAUGGAUCCGCGCCGCAUUAGCUAGUUGGUAAGGUAACGGCUUACCAAGGCGACGAUGCGUAGCCGACCUGAGAGGGUGAUCGGCCACACUGGAACUGAGACACGGUCCAGACUCCUACGGGAGGCAGCAGUAGGGAAUCUUCCGCAAUGGGCGAAAGCCUGACGGAGCAACGCCGCGUGAGUGAUGAAGGUCUUCGGAUCGUAAAACUCUGUUAUUAGGGAAGAACAAAUGUGUAAGUCACUAUGCACGUCUUGACGGUACCUAAUCAGAAAGCCACGGCUAACUACGUG